rfam:Drosophila melanogaster chromosome X.
CAUCUUAAUGAUGACUACAUUGUAAAUUCUUGAUAGGAAGAGUAUGAAACAUAAUGAGUACUAAAACAACCAAGCUGACAAAACA